GGAGGGUGCAAGCGUUGUCCGGAAUCACUGGGCGUAAAGGGCGCGUAGGCGGCUCAUGAAGGCUGUGGUGAAAGUCCGGGGCUCAACCUCGGAUCGGCCGUGGCGACUCGUGGGCUGGAGCACUGUAGAGGCGGGUGGAAUUCCGGGUGUAGCGGUGGAAUGCGUAGAGAUCCGGAAGAACACCAGUGGCGAAGGCGGCCCGCUGGGCAGUGGCUGACGCUGAAGCGCGACAGCGUGGGGAGCAAACAGGAUUAGAUACCCUGGUAGUCCACGCCGUAAACGAUGGGCACUAGGUGCUUGGGGGAGCGACCCUCUGAGUGCCGGCGCUAACGCAUUAAGUGCCCCGCCUGGGGAGUACGGCCGCAAGGCUG
rnacentral:rRNA from 1 species